GGCGAGGGUCCGCGCCGGGGCACGGUCUGGCGGGGCUGUCCCGCCGUCACGCGAGCGGGGAAGGCCCCACCGCGACCCCCACGGUAGGGGAGUAGGCCAGCCGGGCAGGUGUGCGUGCACCGGGCUCGGUAAGAGUCGGGAGUUUUACCGUGUCGCAUAGCGUCCCGCUACUGGAAAGCACUGCAGCACUGAGAGUUGCAGCACAGAUCAUGUGAGAGAAGGUUAAACAAAAGCAGCUUGCAGAAGAGGAGAGAGGCAAUUGAAACAAUCAGAUACUGGCUUAAAGUUUGUUUUCCUGAAAAUCAGUACUUUACAGAUUACUUUAAAGCAGAACUUUUAAAGAUAAGAAGCGAAGAUGCAUACCAGUACCAGUCAGAGGGAGAUAAGAAGAAUGCUGGUGCAAGCACCAUCAUUGGAACCUACCCAGGACUCGAAAGGUGAAAAGUACACGGUGAGGAAGACGUCUUACUUCAUCUGAGGAAGACUACUUACUUCAUCUGGAGACCCCUGCCCACGACCACCAGGAGGCACUGCGCAAGCGCAGAACAUAUGGAAAUGACUUUUGUACUCAUUAUAAUACGAAGCGGGAAUAAGUCAUGAAUAUAUAUCAGCAUAUUGGGAAAGGUGUUGCAUAUGUAAUACUUUACAGGAUAAAUCGUGAGCACGUUGUGAUGGUCUUCGGAACCAGAUUUGGGUGCGAACCCCUGGUUCCCGGGGCCUCGAAAUAAAGCACCACAUAUAA
rnacentral:lncRNA from 1 species